UCUCGGCUUAUCACCGGCAGUCCCCCUAGAGUGCCCAACUGAAUGAUGGCAACUAAGGGCAAGGGUUGCGCUCGUUGCGGGACUUAACCCAACAUCUCACGACACGAGCUGACGACAGCCAUGCAGCACCUGUGUGCAGGUCCCCGAAGGGAAACCGUGUUUCCACGGCGGUCAGGAACAUGUCAAACCCAGGUAAGGUUCUUCGCGUUGCGUCGAAUUAAACCACAUGCUCCGCUGCUUGUGCGGGUCCCCGUCAAUUCCUUUGAGUUUUAGCCUUGCGGCCGUACUCCCCAGGCGGGAUGCUUAAUGCGUUUGCGACGGCACGGAAGGGGUUGAUGCCUCCCACACCUAGCACCCAACGUUUACGGCUGGGACUAC
rnacentral:misc_RNA from 1 species